GUGACUAUGAGCCAUCUACCUUGGAGGGAAAGGUGAAUCUACCUGAUGGCAGAUGCUUUAUAUAUGUACACAUAUGUACACAAAGACAGUUUCCCUGUUUGCGGUUCUCCCAGGAGAAAGAGGGAACUGAAACGAUUAUGACUAAUUUCAUUUAAUUCUAGCUAAUCUUUUUUUUUUUUUUUUGGAGGGGGGGAGUAGGUUACCACCUAUAAAUAUUUGUAAUUUCUUCUAGCUUACUGAUAAUCUAAUAGUCAAUGAGCUUCCAUUAUAAUAAAUUGGUUCAUACCAGGAAGCCCUCCAUUUAUAGUUAGUCAGAUACUGUAAAAAUUGGCAUGUUAUUACUUUAUACCUGUGAUUAAUGAUUCUUCAAACCUUAAAUAUAGUUAUUAGCAGGCAGGUUAUAUCUUUGCUGCAUAGUUUCUUCAUGGAAAAAAAAAAUAUAUAUAUAUAUGGAGAGAGUGGCCCUCAGUUCCCAUCUCACCAUCCCUCUCUUUCAGCCUAGAUCAGUUCAAGCAUCCUAUAGGAGCUUGAAUAAUUAUCUCAGUUGAACAAACCAUGGUGCUAAUGGACCAGGUCAUGGUUUCAAAACUUGAACAAGCCAGUUAGAUCACAGAGAAAACAGUUCAUCCAUAUUUGCUCCCUGCCUAUUACUCCUGCUUGUAGACUUUUGCCUGAUGCCUGCUGUUCGAGCUAUAAGGAUAAAAGUUAGUGUGGUUCUACACCAGGACUGGGAAUGCCUGGUGAGCUGUUGGGUAAGCCUAGACACCUUUACAUUUUCAGACCCGUAUUUUUAGCCCCAUGGAAACUGAAGCCAGAGUUCACACCUCCAUCUCUUCCCCCAUUAGAUAAAUGUUCUUAAUCUAUAUAGCUUUUUAAAAGUAUUUAAAACAUGUCUAUAAGUUAGGCUACCAACUAACAAAAGCUGAUGUGUUUGUUCAAAUAAAGAGGUAUCCUUUACUACUUGAGAAAAGAAUGUAAAAUGCCAUUAAUUGUUGUCAUGUAGAAGUUUGAUAUUUGUGGUAAUGCCCUGAUAAUUCAUUGGUGAGUUUUGUUAGUCAUGGUGAUACUUAAAAUAUAACUCAUCUCAGUAAUUUCAAUGAAAACAUAAAAUGGGAUGCCUUGAUUGAAAAAAGCAAACCUAAUUCCAAAAUGACCAUUUUCUCUUCUGAUCUUACGACACCUAAAAAUCUGAGAUCCUUGGGAUUCAUUUGUUUAUAACAGGAACUUGCUAUGUAAUCUUGGCUGGCCUCAAACUCACAAUGCUCUUCCUGCAUCAGUCUCCAAAAUGAUGGGAUUACAGGCACAUGCCACCACACACACCUGAUCUGGUUUCUAAUGAAUUUUUAUUGUUAAGCAAAUCCCCAUCACCUUGAAACUAAUCAGAAGAGGGAAGAAACAUAUGUUGUGCUCCUCAGUGCUAAUGCUGGGAUCUUUCACCAGGGGUUUGCAUUCUUAAGUAAACUGCUGCCUUUUUACAACAUGGCUCAGUCAUCCUCCUGAAGCUGCUUGAGACCAACACUUGGUCUUGUUCUUUUUUAAUGUGUCUGUAUGACUGGUGGUGGAUCUCUAAAAAGUUUAUUAAACUCCAGUUAGGGAGAAAGUUACUCCCCUUGGCCCUUUUGACCAUAUCCCAUGUGUGUGUGUGUGUGUGUGUGUGUGUGUGUGUGUGUGUGUGUGUGUGUGUGUACACACAUAUGUAUGUAUGUGUGUCUGUAGUUGGUCUCCAGUUCAGAUGCCCUUACUAGCAUAUAUUCCCACAGGGUGUGGGUUUCGGCACAACAGUGACAAACUUGAAAGCCAAGUAAAUCCAGUUGGUGUUUUUAGAGAGCAUAAUUAGUGAAGAUCUGGUUUACCUCAAAGUCACAAAGCCUCUCUUCCUGAAUUGAAGUGCCUGGCCCACUGUCACAAAUUAACAUGUGGAAGGCAGCUGGUUGAAGCUUUGUUCACACAUUGGAGAGUAUGAAAAUAAGUGUUCUAAGACCUCUGACACCGAAUCCGUGUAAACCUGUUAAAUGCCAUGUGUUCCAGGACUUAGAGUGUGUGAGUUGGUAACUCAGUACUUUGUUUACUAGUGCCGUGGGAGCGCUGUGUGCACAGUGGAGGUGGGCGUGUUUUAGGCGGCCAUCUGCAGAGUCAGCCUUUAAACUGCUGUGAACUUUGUCAUGACUUGAAGAUAGACAAAAACUCUCUAAAGACAAAUGUUUGUUUUCCCCAUUAGAGAAUGUGUGAGCUUAGUUUAUCUUCUUUUGUAUUUAGUCAUAAACUCUGAAGCUGGCAGCUACGACCAAGGAUCAGAAGAAUUAGCUCUGCUGAUUGUGGGACACAGAGGUAGAAUGGGAAACGUUUUGCCUGGGUGGCUUCUAUUUAGAAGAGAAAGAGAUGAUCAUUCUUGAACAUUAGUUUUAUUUUGCUAUUUCUUUAAGCUAUCUCAUGUGCCACAAAGUUAUUUUAAGGUAUUUGUGUUUUAUAAGAAUUGUUUUAAGAGUGUUCUCGAUGAGAUUAGUUGUAGAUAUUUUUAAAAAUACAACUGGUUUUUUAAAAAUAUGAGUAUUUCUCUAAGCAAGUGUUUAAACUCUGAAGAGAAGGGAAGGUGGGUGGAAGUUGUUUGGCUUUUGUAUUUCUGUGCUGUUAAAUAUAGGUCAGAACGUCAACUGUGCAAUCCUGCUGUUUAAAGGAGAACUAUUGGCCUCCAUGGUCCUCCUGAAGGGGCUCAUAUUUUAAGUUGACUGUUUUAUUGUAAAUUAAUCCAUUCUAAUUUUUUAAGACUUGAUUGACUGUUUUUCUUGUUAAAUAAUUUUUAAAAAUAAAAAACUGGAAGUUCUUUGCUUAACUGUAUUUUCCC
rnacentral:lncRNA from 1 species